UAUAUAUAUAUAUAUAUAUAUAUAUACACUACCGUUCAAAAGUUUGGGGUCACAUUGAAAUGUCCUUAUUUUUGAAGGAAAAGCACUGUACUUUUCAAUGAAGAAAACUUUAAACUAGUCUUAACUUUAAAGAAGUACACUCUAUACUUUGCUAAUGUGGUAAUUGACUAUUCUAGCUGCAAAUGUCUGGUUUUUGGUGCAAUAUCUACAUAGGUGUAUGGAGGCCCAUUUCCAGCAACUAUCACUCCAGUGUUCUAAUGGUACAAUGUGUUUGCUCAUUGGCUCAGAAGGCUAAUUGAUGAUUAGAAAACCCUUGUGCAAUCAUGUUCACACAUCUGAAAACAGUUUAGCUCGUUACAGAAGCUACAAAACGGACCUUCCUUUGAGCAGAUUGAGUUUCUGGAGCAUCACAUUUGUGGGGUCAAUUAAACGCUCCAAAUGGCCAGAAAAAGAGAACUUUCAUCUGAAACUCGACAGUCUAUUCUUGUUCUUAGAAAUGAAGGCUAUUCCACAAAAUUGUUUGGGUGACCCCAAACUUUUGAACGGUAGUGUAUGUAUGAAAUACUCGAGUUGGUGAAUUCUAGCUGUAAAUAACCACGCCCCCAACCCCCCCCACCUCCCGAUAUUGGAGGUCUCAAGGUUGGCAAGUAUGUUUUGUACCGUGAGAGCAAGUGCAUGAGUUUUGAGCAAUGUACUCACCUUCUAUUUAAAAUAGUCCAUCAGAAGACUUGUGUUCUGUUUCAUUACAAAUAUUGUCAUCAAUUAAGGGGAGACUGGACAUUCUUGGGGUUUGUGUGUGAGUUAUUCAACAAAAGGAAGUCACUCAUGUUGAUUUUGUGGGGGUUUUUUGUAUGUGCACUUUAUUUGUCAACAGGUGUCUUUUUGGGGAGUUUUGCAGCCAUUUUUGUGAAAGGUCUACUCGAUGACCACGCUCACCACGCAGUCCAAGUCCAGGCCGGAGGUUGUCGGCAAGGGGGCCAACGUUUCCAUGACGACCGCCGGGGUUUCCGCCGCUUUGGCGGCGUGGAAGUCGCCGUCGCCACCCGCGUCCUCGUCCUCCGCCGCCUCCUCCUCCACGACCACGUUCCUCAGCUUCCUCUGGCGCGGGUUGUAGUUCUCUGUGCGCUUGUGGAUCUGGUGGUGACGACGCAGGUGUGCCUGGACAGCGGACGCAACCACUUGUCAGAACAGUGCUGCUAGGAUCCUGAUGAGAAUGCGGAGAUACGACCAUAUCACACCAAUUCUCAAAUCCCUUCACUGGCUUCCUGUUCCACUCAAAGUCUCCCUACUAACCCACCAGUGCCUCCAUGGUAAUGCGCCCCUCUACCUCAAAGAACUACUCACCCCCAAAUCCUCCACACACCACCUCCAACCUCCGAGGACAAAGCUGCGAACAAUGGGAGACCGGGCUUUCUGCUCCACCACUCCCAGUCUGUGGAACGCUCUCCCUGACCACCUGAGGGCACCACAGACUGUGGAUGCUUUUAAAAAAGGCUUAAAAAUACUUUUUUUUUUUUUAGAUAUAUGCAUACUAGUUCUAGCUAUUUGGCUGUUCUAUUUUUAAUUUUAAUUUAAUUAUUUAUUUAAUGUUUAUUAUCUUUAUUUUUUUAAUACACUGUAGCACUUUGAGGUUUUUUACUCAAUGUAAAGUGCUUUUUACAAAUAAAAUCUAUUAUUAUUAUUAUUCAUGUGAAAUAUUUUUUUGUACAACGUUAGGACUUUGACUUAAUAUUCAUAUUUUUCUAAUACACAAUUUUAUUCUUGUAUAAUUAAACAUGUUUUUAUCAUAUUAUGACACAAGUCUCAUUAAGUUACAACUUUUCUUCGAAGAAUUAUGCUUGUUUUUUUUUUUGGUAAUGUCAUGACGAGUCAUUCAUGUGAAAAGUUUUGAAUGUUAUGACUUGAAAAUGACAUUAUUAAUGAAUUCCCUUUUUUGUAAUACAAUAUUUUGUAUUCUUGUAUAAAAAAUAAAAAAAAUCGUAAUAUACGAGUUGAUUCUUAUAAAAUGGAAAAUGAUCAUUUGCUGGGUUGCCACACCCCUUGGCAGCAUUUGGCGAAGACUUCCUACCAAACAGGUUGAAAUGAUGUCUUUGAUGCACUUACCUGACUCUCACCCGUCGUCUGCUCAGCGAUGUCAUGGCAAAAUGUAGGCGGGGCUUCAUCGUCCUCGUCCGCCAUCAGCCGUCUGGGACCUUUGACCACUCGACCGGAGCGGGUGGUGGCGAGCGCGUUCACGCUUCCUGCGAGCGCGUUCACGCUUCCUGCGAGCGCGUCCGAGCCGCACUCCUCUUUGGCGCUCGUCGCCGUUUUAUCCUCGAGACAGACGUCAG